UGAGGAAUAUUGGUCAAUGGGCGAGAGCCUGAACCAGCCAAGUCGCGUGAAGGAAGACAGUCCUAAGGAUUGUAAACUUCUUUUAUACGGGAAUAACGGGCGAUACGAGUAUUGCAUUGAAUGUACCGUAAGAAUAAGCAUCGGCUAACUCCGUGCCAGCAGCCGCGGUAAUACGGAGGAUGCGAGCGUUAUCCGGAUUUAUUGGGUUUAAAGGGUGCGUAGGUUGUUCGGUAAGUCAGCGGUGAAACCUGAGCGCUCAACGUUCCGCCUGCCGUUGAAACUGCCGGGCUUGAGUUCAGUGGCAGCAGGCGGAAUUCGUGGUGUAGCGGUGAAAUGCAUAGAUAUCACGAGGAACUCCGAUUGCGAAGGCAGCUUGCCAUACUGCGACUGACACUGAAGCACGAAGGCGUGGGUAUCAAACAGG
rnacentral:rRNA from 1 species